CUCCCGUUCUCCUCAGUCCGAGAAAACACUGAGAGAAAGGUAUGUGUCGCAGAUGUCUCCUGUGAAGAAGUCCAUAACGUCAAAUAAUUAAAGCCUCCCAGGGUUAUUGCUCUAGGUAUUGUUAUAAGUGAGUGUGAGACUAUUGAAACAUGUAACAUUCAGAGUUGUAUCGUUGUUAUUGAUGUAGUUUUACAGAGUGCUAGUUAGCAUGUCUUUCUGAAUGCAGCUGGUCAGCUGAGCUGCCUACAUAUGCUAGCGUUGCAUUAUGGAAGAUGUAGUUUUAGCCCUCUUAAGGUGUGAAUGGGAUAAAUGCGAUUUCACAUUGUGGCUUGUUUGUAUUACACUGUUUUUGUACGUGAGUUGUUGUAUUUUAAUACUGUCACCACUGAAAGCACCUAGCAAUGUAUUGGAGAUGUGAGACAGGAUAUGUGUUUUUCCUUCUUUACCUUUACAUGCUCCUCUAUAGAACAACUUGUCAGAGUGCAUUGGAGAGUAUUCCUGUCCUGUCUCUUCAUAAUAGUAUUGCAGGUCUACAUAAAAGCCCCAAAAGACAGCCGUGGUGUCGCUCUUCAUUUCUUGGUUCUUCUGUGGUACACAUAAAGACCGCUAGAGACGUACAGUUGCUCUCAGAGGGAUGGUGGUUUAUGAAGACACAAUCCUGGAGCUCCAUUAGAGUCCCCUCCACUGAGACAUCAAAACGUCCCCACAAUUCACAAGGUAUGUCAGUUCUGCUCAACGUGUUCUCGUAAUGCAUGAAAGUACUGACAAUGUCAGCUCCACCAACAGCAUCCUCAAAAUGCAUCUCAGGUCACUGUCAGUAAUUUCCGGUCACAACUUGUAGACUUGUUCACGUGCUGCUGUGCGUUUUGUUUGCGAACCUUACUUUGCUACCUGCCAACUUAACGUUUUUUACAUUUUAAUUACCGGUUUAUAUUUUUGCGGUUUUCCCUCGCUCAACUUUUAUUCAUUCAACUUUUUCACUCCGGACGCUUUCUCUGGACGUGGUUCGUCAGGACCUCCACCAGCCGAAGCUAAGUAGUAACAUUAACCACCUAACUGAGGAACUCAAUUUAACCUUGCGCAAUACCCUAGAUGCAGUUGCACCCCUAAACACAAAAAAACAUUUGUCAUAAGGAACUAGCUCCCUGGUAUACAGAAAAUACCCGAGCUCUGAAGCAAGCUUCCAGAAAAUUGGAAGUCUUCCAACUAGCUUGGAAAGACAGUACCGUGCAGUAUCGAAGAGCCCUCACUGCUGCUCGGUCAUCCUCUUUUUCCAACUUAAUUGAGGAAAAUAAGAUCAAUCCAAAAUGGAUUUUUGAUACUGUCGCAAAGCUAACUAAAAAGCAGCAUUCCCAAAGAGAGGAUAGCUUUUACUUCAGCAGUGAUAAAUUCAUGAACUUCUUUGGCACAACUCUGCCAGGACCUAGGAUCAAGGGAGACACUCAAUUUGUUUUUGUACUAUAUCUCUUGACACAUUGAUGAAAAUAAUCAUGGCCUCUAAACCUUCAAGCUGCAUACUGGACCUUAUUCCAACUAAACUACUGAAAGAGCUGCUUCCUGUGCUUGGCCCUCCUAUGUUGAACAUAAUAAACAGCUCUCUAUCCACCGGAUAUGUACCAAACUCACUAAAAGUGGCAUUAAUAAAGCCUCUCUUGGAAAAGCCAAACCUUGACCCAGAAAAUAUAAAAAACUAUCGGCCUAUAUCGAAUCUCCCAUUCCUCUAAAAAAUGUUAUAAAAAGCUGUUGCGCAGAAACUCACUGCCUUCCUGAAGACGAACAUUGUAAACAAAACGCAUCAGUCUGGUUUUAGACCCCAUCAUAGCACUGAGACUGCACUUGUGAAGGUGUUAAAUUACCUUUUAAUGGCGUCAGACCGAGGCUUUGCAUCUGUCCUCGUUCUCCUAGACCUUAGUGCUGCUUUUGAAACCAUCGAUCACCACAUUCUUUCGGAGAGAUUGGAAACCCAAAUUGGUCUACACGGACAAGUUCUGGCCUGGUUUAGAUCUUAUCUGUCGGAAAGAUAUCAGGUUUUUCUCUGGAUGGUUUGUCCUCUGACAAAUCAACUGUACAUUUCGGUGUUCCUCAAGGCUCUGUUUUAGGACCACUAUUGUUUUCACUAUAUAUUUUACCUCUUGGUGAUGUCAUUCGGAAACAUAAUGUUAACUUUCACUGCAUUGCGGAUGACACACAGCUGUACAGUUCGAUGAAACAUGGUGAAGCCCCACAAUUUCCCUCCCUGGAAGCCUGUGUAUCAGACAUAAGGAAGUGGAUGGCUGCAAAUGUUCUACUUUUAAACUCGGACAAAACAUAGAUGCUUAUUCUAGGUCCCAAGAAACAAAGAGAUCUUCUGUUGAAUCUGACAAUUAAUAUUGAUGGUUGUACAGUCGUCUCAAAUAAAACUGUGAAGAACCUCGGCGUUACUCUGGACCCUGAUCUCUCUUUUGACGAACAUAUCAAGACUGUUUCAAUUAACUUCAGUUAGUGCUAAACACGGCUGCUAGAAUAUUGACUAGAACCCAAACAUUUUAUCAUAUUACUCCAGUGCUAGCCUCUCUACACUGGCUUCCUGUUAAGGCAAGGGCUGAUUAAGGUUUUACUGCUAACAUACAAAGCAUUACAUGGGCUUGCUCCUACCUAUAUUUCCGAUUUGGUCCUGCCGUACAUACCUACACGUACGCUACGGUCACAAGACGCAGGCCUCCUAAUUGUCCCUAGAAUUUCUAAGCAAAAAGCUGGAGGCAGGGCUUUCUCCUAUAGAGUUCAAUUUUUAUGAAAUGGUCUGCCUACCCAUGCGAAAGACGCAGACUCGGUCUCAACCUUUAAGUCUUUAUUGAAGACGUAUCUCUUCAGUAGGUCCUAUGAUUGAGUGUAGUCUGGCCCAGGAAUGUGAAGGUAAACGGAAAGGCACUGGAGCAACGAACCGCCCUUGCUGUCUCUGCUUGGCCAGUUCCCCUCUCUCCACUGGGAUGCUCUGCCUUUAACCCUAUUACAGGGGCUGAGUCACUGGCUUACUGGUGCUCUUCCAUGCCUUUCCCUACGAGGGGUGUGUCACUUGAGUGGGUUGAGUCACAGACGUGAUCUUCCUGUCCGGGGUGCCCCCCCCCCCACCCCCCCCUUGUCUCAGGAUGGUAAGUUGGUGGUUGAAGAUAUCCCUCUAGUGGUGUGGGAGCUGUGCUUUGGCAAAGUGGGUGGGGUUAUAUCCUUCCUGUUUGGCCCUGUCCGGGGGUUUCGUCAGAUGGGGCCACAGUGUCUCCCGACCCCUCCUGUCUCAGCCUCCAGUAUUUAUGCUGCAGUAGUUUAUGUGUCGGGGGGCUAGGGUCAGUCUGUCAUAUCUGGACUAUUUCUCCUGUCUUAUCCGGUGUCCUGUGUGAAUUUAAGUAUGCUCUCUCUAAUUCUCUUUCUCUCUCUUUCUUUCUUUCUCUCUCUCGGAGGACCUGAGCCCUAGGACCUUGCCUGAGGACUACCUGGCCUGAUGACUCCUUGCUGUCCCCAGUCCACCUGGCCGUGCUGCUGCUCUAGUUUCAACUGUUCUGCCUGCGGCUAUGGAACCCUGACCUGUUCACCGGAUGUGCUACCUGUCCCAGACCUGCUGUUUUCAACUCUCUAGAGACAGCAGGAGCGGUAGAGAUACUCUGAAUGAUCGGCUAUGAAAAGCCAACUGACAUUUACUCCUGAGGUGCUGACCUGUUGCACCCUUGAAAACCACUGUGAUUAUUAUUAUUUGACCCUGCUGGUCAUCUAUGAACAUUUGAACAUCUUGGCCAUGUUCUAUUAUAAUCUCCACCCAGCACAGCCAGAAGAGGACUGGCCACCCCUCGUAGCCUGGUUCCUCUCUAGGUUUCUUCCUAGGUUCUGGCCUUUCUAGGGAGUUUUUCCUAGCCACCGUGCUUCUACACCUGCAUUGCUUGGGGUUUUAGGCUGGGUUUCUGUACAGCGCUUUGUGACAUCAGCUGAUGUAAGAAGGGCUUUAUAAAUACAUGUGAUUGAUAGUACCCACAAUGUUUUUUGAACUGCCUGGAAAAUACCACUGACCAUGAACUCCCAGAUCCCUACAUUUUUUUUGGGUUUUUCAAAGCGACUUUGAGAUUCUUGUUUGUAAUGAAAAGCGCUAUAUACAAAUGCUACACUAUGAAAACGCUACACAGCGUCCUGAUAAUACACAUAAGUCAGGACGACACACAACAUCCUCAUAACGACUGUCUCUUCGAUGACCUAGCCUCCGCAUUACACCCACACUUUGGAUUUUCAUAAACUUAUCAUGGUUGCUUUCUCUCAACCCGAUGCCAGGCUUUCUUAUGCUUUUGUUGUCGUGGAGAAGGAGACUGAGGAGAAGAGAAGCCGGUGGGGCAGAACUGAUGCAAAUAAAUGUGCCGUCUGCUACUAGCAGCUGCUGAUAAAAGUGGGAGCGGAGAGAGAGUGGGGGAAAUGCAGGGGCCCGGCAAGGCAAAACAAAUGGAGUGAUUAGGGCACCGGUUGGAAACGGCGUGCAGGCAGGACACAGAUAGCACCGUCUGCCAUUACCCAAACACUACAGGGGGGAGCGCAGUGUCUUACAAACACACGGGCACAAACGUACGUUGGCAAAAAGCAGUCACGCACACGUGCGCGCAUACACUCACACACACUCUCACACAUUGCAGGCUGCACUACUGCAUCCCAAGUGACAUCACUGUACCUUCCCCAAUCAGGCCAGCUUCUACUGUAUCUAUGGAAGAGGGAUAUGGAUGACAGCUCACAAUAAGGUGUCCCAUAAUGAGAUGGGUAGCCAGUGGCCAGUGAGACAUGUUGUCUGAAGGUUAAAUGCAGCCCAACAUCGGGUUAGUAGAUACAUUUUUAUCAUAAUCUAUACCCCUUUUGAAUGCUCCCUUUUCGGUCCUGGUUACAUUACUAAUAGCACACACUUACAGCACACACACACAAAUGCACGCACGCACGCACCCACAUGCACACACACGCAGGCAUGCACACACGUACACACACACAACAUUCACCACCUAACCCGAUAUUAGGCCGUAUUUAACCUUUAUUUAACACGCCAAGGAGAGUGAUGGAGUGCUGCAUCAGAUGACCUGGCCUCCACAAUCACCCAAUCUCAACCCAAUUGAGAUGGUUUGGGAUGAGUUGGACCACAGAGUGAAGGAAAAACAGGAAAAAGUGCUCAGCAUAUGUGGGAACUCCUUCAAGACUGUUUGAAAAGCAUUCCUCAUGAAGCUGGUUGAGAGAAUGCCAAGAGUAAUCCCAGAAAUGUACCAUACACACAACAAGCUUAUUUCUCUCAUGGGUGGCUACUUUGAAUCAUCAAAAAUAUAUUUUGAUUUGUUUUUACACUUUUUGGGUUACUACAUGAUUCCAUAUGUGUUAUUUCAUAGUUUUGAUGUAUUCACGAUAAUUCUACAAUGUAGAAAAUUGUAAAAAAUUAAGAAAAACCCUUGAAUGAGUAGGUGUGUCCAAGCUUUUGACUGGUACUGUAGAUGCAGGCACACAUGUAAGCAGAAAAGCCCACUGACACAAGGUAAUGUCUGUCAUGAUGUCCGGUAUUGAUGAGAAAUUACACUCUAUUUAUUCAGUCCAAGAAUAAAGGCCCUAAUCUUAAUUAAACCAAAAACACCACUCUUCUACCAGUGGAAAUGUGGACUCACACAGUCAACAAAGCUACCUAGUGUGAAGAGUAUUGAUUCUUAACAUGGCCUUGCUAUGAGAAUGCUGUUGUCACAAAAUUACUAUCACUACUAUUACUCAGCCAUUAAUACAACGGUCAGAAACAGACUCCAUGAGGGUGGUAUGAGGGCCCGACGUCCACAGGUGGGGGUUGUGCUUACAGCCCAACACCGUGCAGGACGUUUGGCAUUUGCCAGAGAACACCAAGAUUGGCAAAUUCGCCACUGGCGCCCUGUGCUCUUCACAGAUGAAAGCAGGUUCACACUGAGCACAUGUGACAGACGUGACAGAGUCUGGAGACGCAGUGGAGAACGUUCUGCUGCCUGCAACAUCCUCCAGCAUGACCGGUUUGGCGGUGGGUCAGUCAUGGUGUGGGGUGGCAUUUCUUUGUGGGGCCGCACAGCCCUCCAUGUGCUUGCCAGAGGGAGCCUGACUGCCAUUAGGUACCGAGAUGAGAUCCUCAGACCCCUUGUGAGGCCAUAUGCUGAUACAUGCACAUUUGUGGCCUGCUGGAGGUCAUUUUGCAGGGCUCUGGCAGUGCUCCUCCUUGCACAAAGCCGGAGGUAGCGGUCCUGCUGCUAGGUUGUUGCCCUCCUACGGCCUCCUCCACGUCUCCUGAUGUACUGGCCUGUCUCCUGGUAGCGCCUCCAUGCUCUGGACACUACGCUGACAGACACAGCAAACCUUCUUGCCACAGCUCGCAUUGAUGUGCCAUCCUGGAUGAGCUGCACUACCUGAGCAACUUGUGUGGGUUGUAGACUCCGUCUCAUGCUACCACUAGAGUGAAAGCACCGCCAGCAUUCAAAAGUGACCAAAACAUCAGCCAGGAAGCAUAGGAACUGAGAAGUGGUCUGUGGUCACCACCUGCAGAACCACUCCUUUAUUGGGGGUGUCUUGCUAAUUACCUAUAAUUUCCACCUUUUGUCUAUUCCAUUUGCACAACAGCAUGUGAAAUUUAUUGUCAAUCAGUGUUGCUUCCUAAGUGGACAGUUUGAUUUCACAGAAGUGUGAUUGACUUGGAGUUACAUUGUGUUGUUUAAGUGUUCCCUUUAUUUUUUGGAGCAGUGUAUAUAUCCGGGUAUUCAAGGUUGACUCCGCAAUCAAUAUUCUACCUUGUACUUCUGCACGUAACACAACUCAUCUAACUGCAAACAGAAUAGACGACUUAACUCACAUUCUUUCAGAGAUGACUAUGUGCAGUAGCUGGUAUUUAGCUACUAUAAAAGGCUUCAUGAAGACUGUGUGAAUGCCUACAUAAUGGGGGCUACAGUAAAGUGUUACCUGUGACGGCAAAAUAUUGGCAGGAGCAGUUUAGCCACAAAACAGGUUUGUGGCUAAUUGGCUGCGAACAACUAUGUGGAUGGAUGAGUUUAGGAUUCCUUUCCAUGGUAACACAGUUCUUUCUAUAUCUUCCCUCCUGCUCACCAGAUACACAACUUUAUUCGACAGUGCAGGUCUUUAUCACCAGAGAAGACACCGAGGCUGACAGACAAAUGAGGAGGGUGUAUGUACGUGUGUGAAUGUGUAUAUGCGCAUACGUGUGAGUGUGCAUGCAUUUGUGUGUGCCAUUGUGCAUAUCUGUGUGUGUGUGUGUGUGUGUGUGAUGGCAUACACAAUUCGGAAUUGGGAUAUGUGUGGGGGCGGUUCCCUUUCCCAAACUGCCAAAUCAUCUUCGGUGGAGGGCUGAGUCACAACCCUUCCACUCCUCCCCCACCUCCUGCCCCUCACCCCUCCUAAGAGAGAGAGUGAGCGGAAGAAACAAUGGGAAGAUUAAAUUCCAAUGGUGUCCAUGGAGACCGCAGGACAUUCCACAUGUCGCAGUGAUAAGGGGGAGAUUAAUUGUAUAUAAAAGUGUGUCAAAACGGAGUUAACCCUAAAACCAUUGAGCUGAGGUACCGCAAAUCCCCCUCUGAAUCCUUAUCUGCCGAAUGUCAAGCAAAAGAAGAGCGUGAGAGAGAGGGUUACGACUACAUCUAUGCCAGUCGAAGCAUAAUCGAACUGUUCGAAACAAGAGCUUGGAUAUAAAAAGCCACAGGCUUUCAGAUAUGUACCAAGUCUCAAGGGGUGUUAGAAGAGCGAAAGAGAGAGAGAGAGCGAGAGACCUUGACAAAGUACAGACACAGUGAACACAGCCUUGCCAUUGAGAAGGGUAGACACAGGAAAACAUGGCUCCCGGUAGAGGAAAGGCUGUGCAUCACAGCAGUGAUGUACACAAAAUGUAAAGAAUAUAAAACAUUUAGAGUGUAAUUUCCCCAAAUUUGAAACCCUUAUUCAAGGUGAUCUGAAACGUUAACUCCACCGCCUGUGCCCUCAAGACCGCCACUUGCGAAAUGAGGAAAAGCGCCAACAUCACGGUUGUUUGUCUCUCUUGAGCCACCGCAGCAACAACAUAGCAAGAAACACUUCCUCAAAAUAGUCCAAAUUAAAUCAAGAAAUGUGUUACUAAUUUUGACGUUUUCGCCAAGGAAGUCUUAAUAGCGCAAUUUUACAUCCAGCUAAGAUAUUUGGUGCAGUAAGUCUCAAGUGAACAUUUUUGCAUGGAAACGAGUCAUCUCUCGUUGAACGACGAAGGGGCGUAGACUUCGGCUACCGAAAUUUGAAUUGCCCAAGCGAAAAACGUGUGCACGAACAGCAAAAAAAGAAUGUACUGCCGAAGAUCAAAACGAACAAAAACGUCACUAAAUUUCCCCAUAAUAUAUGGCGAACUGUUUCAACUGGGAAGCAGGCGGUAAGCCUAAAGGAUCGCUUGAAGCAGGGUUGUCGUUCGCUCUCUCCCUAUCCCCUCCCUCUCUCUCUCUCUCUGUAAAACCAAUCAAUCAAUCAAGUUUAUUUUAUAUAGCCCUUCGUACAUCAGCUAAUAUCUCGAAGUGCUGUACAGAGACCCAGCCUAAAACCCCAAACAGCUAGAAUGUAGGUGAAGAAGCACGGUGGCUGGUAAAAACUCCCUAGAAAGGCCAAAACCUAGGAAGAAACCUAGAGAGGAAGCAAGCUAUGAGGGGUGGCCAGUCCUCUUCUGGCUGUGCCGGGUGGAGAUUAUAACAGAACUAUGCCAAGAUGUUCAAAAAUGUUCAUAAGUGACAAGCAUGGUCAAAUAAUAAUCAUGGAUAAUUUUCAGUUGGCUUUUCAUAGCCGAUCAUUAAGAGUUGAAAAACAACAGGUUGAAAAACCUGUGAUUAGAGGAAACGUAUGCCCUGUCUCUCCCUCAUCCUCGACUCUCUAUGUUUCCAAUGAUCAGAGACCAAGCAGACUUUUAUUCUGAAGAAUAUGCUACCUUGUGUGCUGUGUGUGCGAGCCUACCUACAUGUGUGUGCGUGUGUGUCUCCAUAUGUGUGUGUGUGUGAUUGCGUGCAUACCUACAUGUGUGUGUAUCUGUGUAUCAGCAUAUGUGGGUCUUUCUACAAAUAAAGGGGCCAACGCGUGACAUCACGGUCAACAUUUCUAAAUGGUUUGAUAUGCAUUCAAAUAUGAUUUUCUUUCAGCUUCACGUGUGUAGUUCAAGGAUUAAAAGUCUAGAUAGCCACAAUGAGAGUAUGACUCCACCUGGAAACUGCAAAACAUCUACACGUCAUUCAAAACCUUCACAUGAAACAUGGACACUGCAUGUUUCUUUGUCAUGCUUAGUAGCCAGGUCUGGUUGUGAUUUAGUCAACUUCUCUAUCAUUCACAGCCAUGCUAAACCGUCCUGCAGAAUGGAAAAUAUAAAAUAGAUAUGUUCUGCAUGUUUUAUAGUUGAUGUGAUCAUAUAAUACAAUGGGUUCUGUCAAGAAAAUCAUUGACAACAAUAAUGAUCAAUAAUGAAAUACACUCUCCAAGCUGUGUGUGUGUGUGUCUGUCUGUCUAUGUUUGUUUGUGUGUGUGUGUGUCUGUCUGUCUGUCUGUCUGUCUGUCUAUGUUUGUGUGUGUGUGUGUCUGUCUGUCUAUGUGUGUGUGUGUGUGUGUGUGUGUGUGUGUGUGUGUGUGUGUGUGUGUGUGUGUGUGAGAGAGAGUCUGUGUCUGAAAACUAGCCGUCAAAUGCUUGCUUCGUCUUUCCUUUUUUCCUUCACUCCUUGCCGCUCUUUGAAAGUGCAUUGGAGCCCGAGGGGAAGAGCCAUCUCACCUCUCCCCCAACGUGCUUUUAAAGGGAGGUGAGGAAUGGAGGAAACAAGGGGAGAAUCUCAAUUGCAUUUCCGUUAUUCCUCACAUCCUCUCUCCUCACCUCCUUCUGAAAACCCAAUACAUUUGAAAGUGAGAGGGGUGGGACCCCUCCUGGGGCGGGACCUCUCCCCUCGUGAUAGUUUUUCAUGGUUGAGGGUUGAGGAGAGUUUGACUACUUCUCUGCUAGUCUUUGGGAGAAAAAACAUUUGUGGAUUGAAGUAUUUCACAGCUAUUAACAUUUUUAGACAGCACCAGAUUCAGUGACUGAAUGAGUGAGUGAGUGAGUGACUGAGUGAGUGACUGAGUGAGUGACUGAGUGAGAGAGAGAGAGAGAGAGAGAGAGUGACUGACUGACAAACCAUCAGUGGUGUAAAGUACUUAAGUAAAAAUACUUUAAAGUAGUACUUUAAAGUAGUUUUGGGGGGGUAUCUGUACUUUACUUUACUAUUUAUAAUUUUGACAACUUUCCUAAAGAAAAUGAUGUACUUUUUACUUCACACAUUUUCCCUGAAACCCAAAAGUACUUUACAUUUUGAAUGGACAGGAGAAUGGUCCAAUUCACGCUUAUCAAGAGAAUGUCCCUGGUCAACCAUAUUGCCUCUGAUCUGGCAGACUUAUAGCACACAUGAUUGUUUGUAAAUGAUGUCUGCACAAUUGAGAGCAUCCUGUCAGGCUGUAUCACCGCCUGGUAUGGCAACUGCAACGCCCACAACCGCAGGGCUCUCCAGAGGGUAGUGAGGUCUGCACAACGCAUCACCGGGGGCAAACUACCUUCCCUCCAGGACACCUACACCACCCGAUGUCACAGGAAGGCCAAAAAGAUCAUCAAGGACAUCAGCCACCCGAGCCACGACCUGUUCACCCCGCUAUCAUCCAGAAGGCGAGGUCAGUACAGGUGCAUCAAAGCUGGGACUGAGAGACUGAAAAACAGCUUCUAUCUCAAGACCAUCGGACUGUUAAAUAGCCAUCACUAGCCGGCUACCACCCGGUUACUCAACCCUGCACCUUAGAGGCUGCUGCCCUAUAUACAUAGACAUGGAACCACUGGUCACUGGUCAUUUUAAUAAUGGAACACUAGUCACUUUAAUAAUGUUUACAUACUGUACUGCUUUACUCAUUUCAUAUGUAUAUACUGUAUUCUAUUCUACCGUAUUUUAGUCAAUGCCACCCCGACAUUGCGGUCCUAAUAUUUAUAUAUUUCUUAAUUCCAUUAUUUUACUUUAGAUUUGUGUGUAUUGUUGUGAAUUGUUAGACACUACUGCACUGUUGGAGCUAGGAACACAAGCGUUUCGCUACACCCGCAAUAAGAUCUGCUAAAUAUAUGUAUGUGACCAUUAUCAUUUGUUUUGAUUUGAGUGUUGUAGUGUGCCCUUGGCUAUCUGUAAAUAAAUAAAAAAGAAAAUGGUGCUGUCA